rnacentral:rRNA from 1 species
UACGGAGGAUCCGAGCGUUAUCCGGAUUUAUUGGGUUUAAAGGGUGCGCAGGCGGGAGAUUAAGUCGGCGGUGAAAUUUUGCAGCUCAACUGUAAAAGUGCCUUCGAAACUGGUUUCCUUGAGUGUGGAUGAAGUAGGCGGAAUUUGCGGUGUAGCGGUGAAAUGCAUAGAUAUCACGAGGAACUCCGAUUGCGCAGGCAGCUUACUAAACUACUACUGACGCUCAGGCACGAAGGCGUGGGGAUCAAACAGGAUUAGAUACCCGGGUAGUCCCU